AGAGCCAGUGCAAACAGAAUGAAAGCCACAGAAGCAGUACAUGAAAUGGGUGAAUUGCAGAUUGUCGUUGCUGAGGCAUGUCCAUGACCUUGAAACCCUUCCUGUUGGCCAAAGUGGAGCCAUGAUGUUAAAAGUCAGGACAAUGGAUCUCCUCCAGCUGAAGGCAUGUUGCACUUCAAUGUAAAUCUUACCCUGUUUCUUUAACACAGAAAUCCUUGACAGACAAUGGGAAAAUAAAGUUGAAGGUGUAUAUAGAAAAUUCAA